rnacentral:rRNA from 1 species
UUGGAGGGCAAGUCUGGUGCCAGCAGCCGCGGUAAUUCCAGCUCCAAUAGCGUAUAUUAAAGUUGUUGCAGUUAAAAAGCUCGUAGUUGAAUUUCGGGAUUAGCAGGUCGGUCGUGCCUUUGGUACGUACUGGUGUCGCUGAUUCCUCCCUUUUGACGAACCGUGAUGCCAUUAAUUUGGUGUUGCGGGGAAUCAGGACUGUUACUUUGAAAAAUUUAAAGUGUUUAAA